GCCGGAAUAGCUCACUUGGUAGAGCANAGGACUGAAAAUCCUCGUGUCACCAG
rnacentral:tRNA from 1 species